GGGCGCUUAGUGGAGUGGUUACCACGUUGGUCUUCGACACUUCCCGUUUAUGGGAUAGAUCUGUCAACCAAAGUUCGUCGGUUCGAUCCCGGCAGUGCUCA